ACGCUGGCGGCGUGCUUAACACAUGCAAGUCGAACGGAAAGGCCCUGCUUUUGUGGGGUGCUCGAGUGGCGAACGGGUGAGUAACACGUGAGUAACCUGCCCUUGACUUUGGGAUAACUUCAGGAAACUGGGGCUAAUACCGGAUAGGAGCUCCUGCUGCAUGGUGGGGGUUGGAAAGUUUCGGCGGUUGGGGAUGGACUCGCGGCUUAUCAGCUUGUUGGUGGGGUAGUGGCUUACCAAGGCUUUGACGGGUAGCCGGCCUGAGAGGGUGACCGGCCACAUUGGGACUGAGAUACGGCCCAGACUCCUACGGGAGGCAGCAGUGGGGAAUAUUGCACAAUGGGCGGAAGCCUGAUGCAGCAACGCCGCGUGCGGGAUGACGGCCCUCGGGUUGUAAACCGCUUUCGCCUGUGACGAAGCGUGAGUGACGGUAAUGGGUAAAGAAGCACCGGCUAACUACGUGCCAGCAGCCGCGGUGAUACGUAGGGUGCGAGCGUUGUCCGGAUUUAUUGGGCGUAAAGGGCUCGUAGGUGGUUGAUCGCGUCGGAAGUGUAAUCUUGGGGCUUAACCCUGAGCGUGCUUUCGAUACGGGUUGACUUGAGGAAGGUAGGGGAGAAUGGAAUUCCUGGUGGAGCGGUGGAAUGCGCAGAUAUCAGGAGGAACACCAGUGGCGAAGGCGGCUCUCUGGGCCUUUCCUGACGCUGAGGAGCGAAAGCGUGGGGAGCGAACAGGCUUAGAUACCCUGGUAGUCCACGCUGUAAACGGUGGGUACUAGGUGUGGGGUCCAUUCCACGGGUUCCGUGCCGUAGCUAACGCUUUAAGUACCCCGCCUGGGGAGUACGGCCGCAAGGCUAAAACUCAAAGGAAUUGACGGGGCCCCGCACAAGCGGCGGAGCAUGCGGAUUAAUUCGAUGCAACGCGUAGAACCUUACCUGGGUUUGACAUGGAUCGGGAGUGCUCAGAGAUGGGUGUGCCUCUUUUGGGGUCGGUUCACAGGUGGUGCAUGGCUGUCGUCAGCUCGUGUCGUGAGAUGUUGGGUUAAGUCCCGCAACGAGCGCAACCCUUGUUCACUGUUGCCAGCACGUUAUGGUGGGGACUCAGUGGAGACCGCCGGGGUCAACUCGGAGGAAGGUGGGGAUGACGUCAAGUCAUCAUGCCCCUUAUGUCCAGGGCUUCACGCAUGCUACAAUGGCUGGUACAGAGAGUGGCGAGCCUGUGAGGGUGAGCGAAUCUCGGAAAGCCGGUCUCAGUUCGGAUUGGGGUCUGCAACUCGACCUCAUGAAGUCGGAGUCGCUAGUAAUCGCAGAUCAGCAACGCUGCGGUGAAUACGUUCCCGGG
rnacentral:rRNA from 1 species